rnacentral:rRNA from 1 species
AUUGAACGCUGGCGGCAUGCCUUACACAUGCAAGUCGAACGGUAACGCGGGGCAACCUGGCGACGAGUGGCGAACGGGUGAGUAAUGCAUCGGAACGUGCCCAGUAGUGGGGGAUAGCCCGGCGAAAGCCGGAUUAAUACCGCAUACGACCUACGGGUGAAAGGGGGGGAUCGCAAGACCUCUCGCUAUUGGAGCGGCCGAUGUCAGAUUAGCUAGUUGGUGGGGUAAAGGCCUACCAAGGCGACGAUCUGUAGCUGGUCUGAGAGGACGACCAGCCACACUGGGACUGAGACACGGCCCAGACUCCUACGGGAGGCAGCAGUGGGGAAUUUUGGACAAUGGGCGCAAGCCUGAUCCAGCCAUGCCGCGUGCGGGAAGAAGGCCUUCGGGUUGUAAACCGCUUUUGUCAGGGAAGAAAUCCUUUGGGUUAAUACCUCGAGGGGAUGACGGUACCUGAAGAAUAAGCACCGGCUAACUACGUGCCAGCCGCCGCCGUAAGAC